rnacentral:rRNA from 1 species
AAACUAGGAUUAGAUACCCUAUUAUGCCUAGCCGUAAACUUUGAUGGAAACAUACAACUGACAUCCGCCAGGGGACUAUAAGCGCCAGCUUAAAACCCAAAGGACUUGGCGGUGCCUCAGACCCACCUAGAGGAGCCUGUUCUAGAACCGAUAACCCCCGUUCAACCUCACCACCUCUUGUUUUCCCCGCCUAUAUACCGCCGUCGUC